rnacentral:rRNA from 1 species
CCUGGUGACCACAGCGGAGGGGUCCCACCCGUUCCCAUUUCGAACACGGAAGUUAAGCCCUCCUGCGCCAAUGGUACUGCCGUCCGCGGUGGGAGAGUAGGUCGUUGCCAGGC